CUUGAUUUGGUUGUGGAUUUUGAUUUGGAAAAGGCAUACGAAUUAUUUCUUUACGAGGAGAAAAAAGUGUCCGCGGGCUACUUAUCUGAGCUCGAUAAGUAUCUUAAAGCCGAACGUGAAGAAGGUCGUGAUCUUGACCUUUUGGUGUGGUGGAAAACUGUUGGCCAAAAGUUUAAAAUCCUCUCUUUGAUGGCUCGGGAUAUUUUGUCUAUUCCGGUAACAACCGUUGCUUCAUAGUCAACUUUUAGUACAUCCGGUCGUGUGCUUGAUGGUUUUCGAAGUUCUUUGACUCCUAGAGUGGUCGAAGCUUUGAUUUGCACUCAAGAUUGGUUGAGAGUGGUUACCAUGCCGAUUAAUGUUGAAGAGUGCAUCGAGAAUGCAGAAAGGUUUGAGUGGGAUAUGGACGAUGUUCACUCGGGGCUUACCGGUAAAUAGAGUUUGCAAGUUGAAGUGGAAGAAAUAUAUGUGGACUAUCAACAAGUUUAAUUGUGGUUGGGCUGAUGCUUAAAGCAUAUUGGGAGGAGUUCCAAUUGGGAUAAUUGUUCAAUGUCCUCUGGUUAUGUAUCUAAUUCACCUGCAUCUAGUUCCGUUAGGCUAAGUUGCGGCAUCAACCUUGGAUACUAGCCGUGAAAGCUUUACUGCAUAAGGUUUCUUUUGUGGACCGAUGAGACUGCCGAUGAUCUUUUGUUCUGAAUAGCCAUAAUGGUUUUAUGGACCAAUGAGACUGCCGUGAAAGCUUUACUGCAUAAAGUUUCUUUUGUGUUGUAUUGUGUAUCUUCACCCAUCAGGAAAGCACUGCAGGGAAGAUUUUAUUGGUAUGUCAUUGGUACAUCAUGUGCGAUGAAGGUCCCGUGUAUAUCUCUGCUUCCUUACAUUGGAUAUCUGGACAUUGUGGAAUCACAGCAGUACAUUACAUUGUUGGUUA